CUGGGUUUCUGUUCGACAGAGGUGAGAAGAAGGGGACGAUGGCAUUAUAGUAAUUUCGCAUUGACUUACAAUUAGAAAAAUUAACCUCUACCUAGCUUCGAACCCGUGAGUAAAUAAGCACAUUAAAAACACCUAAACCACUAGAUCACAGUACAAUCUUUGUAUCGCUCUACAUAUACUUUUUUUAAUACAAUUUACUAAAAACAUUCAAAGUAAAUAACACUCUGAUCACCUCGAAUCCAUGAUAGUUCAUGCCAUACUAAUGACCAAACCACUAGAUUAUGAUAAUAUACGUAUAAAUGAAGUAUUAUAAAUAUAAAAAUACAAAAAAUUCCUCCCCGCGUACUCCCCGAUUUUUUCCCGCUUUUUCAAU
rnacentral:lncRNA from 1 species